CUCGUAGGCGGUUCGUCGCGUCCGGUGUGAAAGUCCAUCGCUUAACGGUGGAUCCGCGCCGGGUACGGGCGGGCUUGAGUGCGGUAGGGGAGACUGGAAUUCCCGGUGUAACGGUGGAAUGUGUAGAUAUCGGGAAGAACACCAAUGCGAAGGCAGGUCUCUGGGCCGUCACUGACGCUGAGGAGCGAAAGCGUGGGGAGCGAACA
rnacentral:rRNA from 1 species